rnacentral:tRNA from 1 species
GUUAGUGUUGCAAAGCCUGGUUUAGCAAAAGGCCUAAACCCUUUAUACAGGGGUUCAAAUCCCCUCACUAACU